rnacentral:antisense_RNA from 1 species
GUUCCUGCAAAAUCAGGAACCCGGACUCUCACCCCGGUAUUCUCAAAGGCGCAGCAGUCGCCAGCAGAGCGGCUUUUUU